UGUGAGAAGUUCAUUAAACCUUAUCAUUUAGAGGAAGGAGAAGUCGUAACAAGGUUUCCGUAGGUGAACCUGCGGAAGGAUCAUUGUACACACAAUCAAAAAUGUUGACGAAUCUCUCGUCCUCUCUCGUCCUCGAGCGCGUCUCGAGGAGAGGGGCGAGGAACCACUUCAAAACUAUCAAAAUGCACCCACGAGAGGAACGGCAAGCUUCAGAAACCCGAGGGGAUCGCAUUGUAGAGGUGCGGUCGUCGACGAUGAGAUUCCGGGACUCGCAGGCUCCCUCUGCUCAGGGAGAGGGUGCUUGGCAGUGCCACCGCGGGUGUGUCGCGGGCGUGUUUUCAUGGUCGUCGAGGUGUCCCGCUCGCACGACUCCCAGACGACGUCUUCCCCCCUCUCCAAGAGGCGGGGGAGACGUGCUGGGAGUAGGACGUUUCCUCCCCUCCUCUCGGGAGCACACCCUUCACGCCGAGUCGCCCCCUCCUCUGUCCCGGACAGAGGAGGAGGCUCUCGGUUUGCAGGAUCCCGGGAGCAUCCUCGGCUUGUCCUUCCGUGGGUGCAGAAUCAGCCAAAUGUCCAACGGUGAACCGAAGACAGACAAAAUUUAUCAAACAAAAUGGACUCUCAGCAACGGAUAUCUUGGCUCUUGCAACGAUGAAGAACGCAGCGAAAUGCGAUACCUAGUGUGAAUUGCAGAAUUCCGCGAAUCAUCGAGUUUUUGAACGCAAGUUGCGCCCGAGGCUUUUGCCGAGGGCAUGUCUGUCUGAGCGUCCAUGGGGUCCCGCUCAUCCUCCUAGGAUGGGCGCUGGGAUGGCCUAUGCGCGGACCAUCCAUCGGGCUCUCGCCCAAGGGAAAGUGUCCCGCUCGGCUGAAAUCUAUGUCCGUCCUGGAAAUCGGAAGGGACGUUGCGAGAAGGUGCUCCGCUUUGCGAAAGUGGGCGGAUGAUAUCAUGGAUGUCAAUAGCACGCGGCGCUCCCUUCCCUCUCGAAAGGACUCGGAGAAAACGGGACUCCCGUCAUCGCGCGGGAGUUUUUCACGUCUUGGACCUCAGAUCAGGCAAGAUCACCCGCUGAGUUUAAGCAUAUCAGUAAGCGGAGGAAAAGAA
rnacentral:rRNA from 1 species